GCAUCGGUGGUUAAGUGGUAGAAUGCUCGCCUGCCACGCGGGCGGCCCAGGUUCGAUUCCCGGCCGAUGCA
rnacentral:tRNA from 1 species